rnacentral:rRNA from 1 species
AGGACGAACGCUGGCGGCGUGCCUAAUACAUGCAAGUCGAGCGAAUCGAUGGGAGCUUGCUCCCUGAGAUUAGCGGCGGACGGGUGAGUAACACGUCGGCAACCUGCCUAUAAGACUGGGAUAACUUCGGGAAACCGGAGCUAAUACCGGAUACGUUCUUUUCUCGCAUGAGAGAAGAUGGAAAGACGGUUUACGCUGUCACUUAUAGAUGGGCCCGCGGCGCAUUAGCUAGUUGGUGAGGUAAUGGCUCACCAAGGCGACGAUGCGUAGCCGACCUGAGAGGGUGAUCGGCCACACUGGGACUGAGACACGGCCCAGACUCCUACGGGAGGCAGCAGUAGGGAAUCUUCCGCAAUGGACGAAAGUCUGACGGAGCAACGCCGCGUGAACGAAGAAGGCCUUCGGGUCGUAAAGUUCUGUUGUUAGGGAAGAACAAGUACCAGAGUAACUGCUGGUACCUUGACGGUACCUAACCAGAAAGCCACGGCUAACUACGUGCCAGCAGCCGCGGUAAUACGUAGGUGGCAAGCGUUGUCCGGAAUUAUUGGGCGUAAAGCGCGCGCAGGUGGUUCCUUAAGUCUGAUGUGAAAGCCCACGGCUCAACCGUGGAGGGUCAUUGGAAACUGGGGAACUUGAGUGCAGAAGAGGAAAGUGGAAUUCCAAGUGUAGCGGUGAAAUGCGUAGAGAUUUGGAGGAACACCAGUGGCGAAGGCGACUUUCUGGUCUGUAACUGACACUGAGGCGCGAAAGCGUGGGGAGCAAACAGGAUUAGAUACC